rnacentral:miRNA from 1 species
AUCCUCAUUGACGGAAUGAAUCCCUUCCAAUCAAUGAGGUAUAAAAAUCUCAUUGACUGGAAGGGAUUCCUUCCAGUCAAUGAGGUAU